rnacentral:rRNA from 1 species
UGGGGAAUUUUGGACAAUGGGCGAAAGCCUGAUCCAGCAAUGCCGCGUGUGUGAAGAAGGCCUUCGGGUUGUAAAGCACUUUUGUCCGGAAAGAAAUCCUUGACUCUAAUACAGUCGGGGGAUGACGGUACCGGAAGAAUAAGCACCGGCUAACUACGUGCCAGCAGCCGCGGUAAUACGUAGGGUGCAAGCGUUAAUCGGAAUUACUGGGCGUAAAGCGUGCGCAGGCGGUUUGCUAAGACCGAUGUGAAAUCCCCGGGCUCAACCUGGGAACUGCAUUGGUGACUGGCAGGCUAGAGUAUGGCAGAGGGGGGUAGAAUUCCACGUGUAGCAGUGAAAUGCGUAGAGAUGUGGAGGAAUACCGAUGGCGAAGGCAGCCCCCUGGGCCAAUACUGACGCUCAUGCACGAAAGCGUGGGGAGCAAACAGGAUUAGAUACCCUGGUAGUCCACGCCCUAAACGAUGUCAACUAGUUGUUGGGGAUUCAUUUCCUUAGUAACGUAGCUAACGCGUGAAGUUGACCGCCUGGGGAGUACGGUCGCAAGAUUAAAACUCAAAUGAAUUGACGGGGUCAUAGCUGUUUCCU